rnacentral:rRNA from 1 species
UCGAACGAAGCGCCUGCGGCGGACCCCUCCGGGGGAAAGCCGCAGGGGACUGAGUGGCGGACGGGUGAGCAACGCGUGGGCAACCUGCCCCGUACCGGGGGACAACAGCCGGAAACGGCUGCUAAUACCGCAUAUUCCCGCGGGGCCGCAUGGCCCUGCGGGGAAAGCUCCGGCAGUACGGGAUGGGCCCGCGUCUGAUUAGCUUGUUGGCGGGGUAACGGCCCACCAAGGCUGCGAUCAGUAGCCGGCCUGAGAGGGCGGCCGGCCACAUUGGGACUGAGACACAGCCCAGACUCCUGCGGGAGGCAGCAGUGGGGGAUAUUGCACAAUGGGGGGAACCCUGAUGCAGGGGGGCCGCGUGAACGAAGAAAUAUUUCGGCACCUAAAAUUCUAUCAGCAGGGAAGAAAAUGACAAAAAAAAACCAAGAAGCCCCGGCUAACUACGUGCCAGCAGCCGCGGUAAUACGUAGGGGGCGAGCGUUAUCCGGAUUCACUGGGCGUAAAGGGAGCGCAGGCGGCACGGCAAGUCCGGUGUGAAAGCCCGGGGCCCAACCCCGGGACUGCACUGGAACCUGCCGGGCUGGAGUGUCGGAGGGGCAGGCGGAAUUCCUAGUGUAGCGGUGAAAUGCGUAGAUAUUAGGGGGAACACCGGUGGCGAAGGCGGCCUGCUGGACGACGACUGACGCUGAGGCUCGAAAGCGUGG